CCUACGGGAGGCUGCAGUGAGGAAUAUUGGUCAAUGGACGCAAGUCUGAACCAGCCAUGCCGCGUGCAGGAAGACGGCCCUAUGAGUUGUAAACUGCUUUUGUACGAGGGUAAACGCAGAUACGCGUAUCUGUCUGAAAGUAUCGUACGAAUAAGGAUCGGCUAACUCCGUGCCAGCAGCCGCGGUAAUACGGAGGAUUCAAGCGUUAUCCGGAUUUAUUGGGUUUAAAGGGUGCGUAGGCGGUCGGAUAAGUUAGAGGUGAAAUCUCGAGGCUCAACUUCGGAAUUGCCGUUGAUACUGUUCGGCUUGAGAGUAGUUGCGGUAGGCGGAAUGUAUGGUGUAGCGGUGAAAUGCUUAGAGAUCAUGCAGAACACCGAUUGCGAAGGCAGCUUACCAAGCUACUUCUGACAUUGAGGCACGAAAGCGUGGGGAGCAAACAGGAUUAGAUACCCCAGUAGUC
rnacentral:rRNA from 1 species